UGUAUACAGUUAUUAUACUUAUUAUAUAUACUUUUUCUUUUAUUAGUUAUAACCUUUUUAUUUUAGAUUAAAAAGGGGGAAAUGUAGUGAUAUUUUGUUUGUGCUCUAACAAAUAAAGCCUACCUGGAUAUCAGAGUGUGGAGCUAGCCACUAGAGGCCAGGAAGUGGUGGUACACACCUUUAAUACCACCACUUGGGAGGAGGAAACAGGAAGUGACAUGGCUGAGCAGAGAGAAGAAGUGAUAAAGCAGAGUGGAGACAGGAGCUCAACCCUUUCAGUCUGAGGAUUCUUAGAGACCCAUUAGAAUUCAUGCUACAGCAGGAUAUUGGAAGACUGUGGACAAUGAUGAAAGAAGACUGAAGAAGGAAGAGUAAGCCAGAUCGAGCUGAAUUAAAAAAAUAGAAGACCAGGUUUUUUCUGGGCAAAGCAGCUCCCAGAGUCUCUGAGGAUGGGGUUUGGAGAAACAGGAAAGGAGCAGAAACAAGCUGAAGGUUCCAACAGAACAAGAAUUACAGAAAGGAAGAGGAGGUAAGCGAAUGUGAUGGAGGAAAAGUAGUACAAGAGAAGAGAGAGAAUGGAAGAGCAGGCAGGGGAAAGGGCAGGGAGAAAGAGCAGGGAGGCAGGAACAGGAGGGAGCAUGGAGAAAGGAGGAGGGAUGAAAGUAAAAACCAAAGUGGUAGGAGGGAAGAGGAGGGAGAAGGGAAGACAGCAAGUAGAGAAUUGGAGGGAGUAGGGAAGAGGAAGGAAGAGGAAGGAGGAGGGAAUAGGAGAGUGAAGGUAAUCUGGAAGAGGAGAAAAGAGGGAAAGGAAGUAGAGAAAGGAGGAAUGAGGAGGGAGGGAGGAAGACAGAAGAGGAGAAAAAAGAGAAGACAGAAGAGAAAGGAACACAAAGCAGAAAGGAGAUAGAGGGAAAGAAGACAUGAAGUGGGGUAGGGAAAAAAGAAAGAGGAGAAAACUAGAAAGUAAGAAGAGAGAAGCGAGAAAGGAAGGAGGAGAGAGGAGAGGAGGGAAACAAGAAGAGGGGGAGAUGGAAGAGGAGGAAGGAAGGAAGUAGAGGAAGUAGGGAAGAAGAAGUAGGAGAGGAGAGGAGGGAGUGUAGAAAAGGAUGGAGGUAAGAAGAAGGAGAAUGUACGAGGUGAAAGGAGAGAAGAUGAAGGAAUAGGGAAAAGAUGGAAGAGGAGAGAGAACAAAGAGGAGAGAGAGGGAAGAUGAAAGGCAUGGAUAGAGGAGGGAAGAUGAUGGGGUAAGGUGAAGAGAAGAAAUAGGAGGAGAGAAGAGAAAGGAGGUGAGAAAAAGCAAGGAGACAGCAGUGUUAGGAGAAGAGAGGGGA